rnacentral:rRNA from 1 species
UACGGGGGGGGCAAGCGUUGUUCGGAAUUACUGGGCGUAAAGGGCGCGUAGGCGGUGCUCUAAGUCGGAUGUGAAAACUCUGGGCUCAACCCAGAGCCUGCAUCCGAAACUGGAGUGCUAGAGUUCUGGAGGGGGUAGCGGAAUUCCUGGUGUAGCGGUGAAAUGCGUAGAGAUCCGGAAGAACACCGGAGGCGAAGGCGGCUUGCUGGGCGUGAUCUGACGCUGAGGCGCGAAAGCGUGGGGAGCGAACAGG